rnacentral:lncRNA from 1 species
GUAGAAUUCAAAAAUCAGGGACCAACUUUCAUAAUUCACAAAUCAGGUUUCAUAACCCUAAUUCAUCUUCAUAAUUCACUUUCUUCCCCCACCGUCUCUCUCUUGCCUCACCUCCAUCUCUCUCUAUGGACCAACUGUUGCAGUACACAAGCGACAUCGCCACUGCAUAGCAGCACUCCUACAUCACCUCCCUCUCUUUCUAUGUACCAACAGUUGCAGCACAUAAGUGGCAUCGCCAGUGCGAGCAGCGUCGCAGCGAGGGCUCUCCCUGUACAGCGACGAUGUGAGCUCCUCAGCAUAGCAUUAGGGCGCUUGGGCUUUUUGGGGUUUUUGUGGCGCUUAGGGUCUUUUCUACCGACGAAGCAACACUACUGACGUCCUAGCCCGAUUUUGGGUUUUUUUUAAUGUGGCGGAUCUGGUGGUGAACUGGUGGCGACUAUUGUGGUUAACGGUUGGCGAUGGUGGUGAAAUGAAAGUUGGAAGCUGCUUUGGAAGUGCAGCAUUUGGAUUGGGGAGACGGUGAUAAAUCUGGUGUCGGCGACGGGCUGUAUGAUUGAGCGUGUUUCGUGGUGGUUCUGAAUGUGGUUGUGGUCCUGGUGGAUGUAGUGGUUUCUAUUGGCGAUUGUGUUGGCAGUGGAUACUGUGGUGAGGUUGUGGGUUGGAUAUCGUUGGUGUGUUUGUUGGUGGCGGUAGUGCACCUAACGGUAGGGAUGAGCUGGUGCAGUGGAUCUAGGUAGCAGUGCGGUUUGGUGAGAACAACAGGUGGUAGUGGUACGGUAUGGUGAUGGUGGCAGAGGUGAUGGCGGUGGUGCGCCGAUGCGAUUGAUCGACCUGCUAUACUUUUACUGUUCGAUCCCCGUCAUUGCUGACGGUUGGGUGGCCUGCUUGGCUUAAUGCGGUGGCUAGUGUUGACUUAUUUAGUUAUGUUUGUUGGUCUUUGGAGUGGUGGUGGUUGUGGUGGUGUUGUGGCCGGGGUUAGUGUUCGUGAUCAAGUAUUGUGGUGGAUCGGGAUCGAGCGUUUGGCAUCUGUGACCUUUGUGACUAACUAUUAAUUUGUGAUCUUGAUAUUUGAUUAUUUUGUGAUUGAAAAAGUAAUUUGUGACCACCAAAUUUGAAAAUGUGUGACUGUGAUCUAUAAUUUUUUUAUCUGUAACUUACGAAAAUUUUGAUUUGUGAUCUUGAAAAAAUUCAUGACCAAUUAAUUUGAUGACAUGUGACCAAUAAAUAAAUAUGUAACAUGUAGUUGUGAAUCUGUGACCAUUAUUCAUAUAAUUGCGC